rnacentral:rRNA from 1 species
CCUACGGGGGGCUGCAGUGGGGAAUAUUGGACAAUGGGGGCAACCCUGAUCCAGCCAUGCCGCGUGGGUGAAGAAGGCCCUCGGGUUGUAAAGCACUUUCAGUGAGGAAGAACGCCUGGUGGUUAAUACCCAUCAGGAAAGACAUCACUCACAGAAGAAGCACCGGCUAACUCCGUGCCAGCAGCCGCGGUAAUACGGAGGGUGCGAGCGUUAAUCGGAAUUACUGGGCGUAAAGCGCGCGUAGGUGGCUUGAUAAGCCGGUUGUGAAAGCCCCGGGCUCAACCUGGGAACGGCAUCCGGAACUGUUAAGCUAGAGUGCAGGAGAGGAAGGUAGAAUUCCCGGUGUAGCGGUGAAAUGCGUAGAGAUCGGGAGGAAUAACAGUGGCGAAGGCGGCCUUCUGGACUUAAACUGACACUGAGGAGCGAAAGUGUGGGUAGCAAACAGGCUUAGAUACCCCUGUAGUC